GUCUCAGUUCGGAUUGGAGUCUGCAACCCGACUCCAUGAAGCUGGAUUCGCUAGUAAUCGCGCAUCAGCCACGGCGCGGUGAAUACGUUCCCGGGCCUUGUACACACCGCCCGUCAAGCCAUGGAAGCCGGGGGUGCCUGAAGUGCGCUGCCGCAAGGAGCGCCCUAGGGUAAAACCGGUGACUGGGGCUAAGUCGUAACAAGGUAGC
rnacentral:rRNA from 1 species